rnacentral:rRNA from 1 species
UCGGGAAUUUUGGGCAAUGGGCGAAAGCCUGACCCAGCAACGCCGCGUGAGGGAUGAAGUAUUUCGGUAUGUAAACCUCGAAAGAAUGGGAAGAAUAAAUGACGGUACCAUUUAUAAGCUCCGGCUAACUACGUGCCAGCAGCCGCGGUAAUACGUAGGGAGCAAGCGUUGUUCGGAUUUACUGGGCGUAAAGGGCUCGUAGGCGGCGCGGUAAGUCACUUGUGAAAUCUCUGAGCUUAACUCAGAACGGCCAAGUGAUACUGCUGUGCUAGAGUGCGGAAGAGGCAACCGGAAUUCUUGGUGUAGCGGUGAAAUGCGUAGAUAUCAAGAGGAACACCUGAGGCGAAGGCGGGUUGCUGGGCCGACACUGAC